GAAACAUCGUUUUCAAAACGAUCACGCUUAUGUUCAAGCAGUGGAAGACACAUUGACGUCUCGUCUCUUUAGACAAGACUUCGUGUUCGUUACAUGUUUAUAUCCAACCAAACCGCCACAUGAAUUUGUUAUUUGUCGUUAUAAACAAACAUGACUUACUUUGUUGAAGGUAAUUUAGUCCAGUAAUUUAAAGUUUAUUAAUUUUUUUAUACUAGAAAAUCUAAGUUUCGAA
rnacentral:lncRNA from 1 species